rnacentral:rRNA from 1 species
AUAUGCUAGUAUGACAUAUAAACGAUUUAAGUCCUUCUUAAAUGAGGCCAUUUACCCAUAGAGGGUGCCAGGCCCGUAUAACGUUUAUGAUUACUAGAAGAUAUUUCCAAAGAGUCGUGUUGCUUGAUAGUGCAGCACUAAGUGGGUGGUAAACUCCAUCUAAAACUAAAUAUGACCAUGAGACCGAUAGCAAACAAGUACCGUGAGGGAAAGUUGAAAAGAACUCUGAAUAGAGAGUUAAAUAGUACGUGAAACUGCUUAGAGGUUAAGCCCGAUGAACCUGAAUAUCCAUUAUGGGAAAUUCAUCAUUAUAAUCGUGAUAUUUUAAAAAUAUUAUGAGAAUAGUGUGCAUUUUUCCCAUAUAAGGACAUUGUAAUCUAUUAACAAAUAUAUAUUUAUCAAAAGAUCAUUUGCAAAAGUUUAUUUGAAUUAACUUGUUUACAGGUUAACAUUGAAUAAAUGCUUAUGAUUUGAUAAAGUGUUGAUAGAUUUAUUAUAUAUAGUGCUGAAAUUAUUUAUAAUUUUACAAUAAUAUAUUAAUCAUGAUUUUUAUAUUUAUUGUAUGCGCUUAUAUGAUUAACAAUGCGAAAGAUUCAGGAUACCUUCGGGACCCGUCUUGAAACACGGACCAAGGAGUCUAACAUAUGUGCAAGUAAUUGGGAAUUAAAAAACCUAAUUGCGAAAUAAACAUAACUUGUUAAUGGGAUUAAUUUUUAUAGAAAUUUAUUUUUUAUAUUAAUUCAAUCCCGGGGCGUUCUAUAUAGUUAUGUAUAAUUAUAUUUAUAUA